rnacentral:snRNA from 1 species
AGCUCAACGAGAACAGAAAUC